CGGCCCAGCGAGUUGCUCGCCUCGCUGCCCUUCCCCCACCGCCCGGCCGCAGCCCCUGCCGGCCGCCCAGGUCUCGUCCCGCCUCACGGCCGGCGCUCCCCAGCCCGGGCCGCUCCGCACGCCUCGCCGCCUGCUGGGCUACUGAUGCCCUCCAUCCACACAAAGACGCGUGCGCCCGGGCGGGGAGCGCAGGGGCUGGCACGCACCACCGGCGGGCCUUCUGUCUGCACCCCCUCUCCCGGCCGCCGCCGGCGCACUCCCACGGCCCCCACUCCCUCGUCUCUCGUCUGAGCCGCCAUUUGCUCCUCGCCUCCCCGUCUCAGCUACCGGUGUUCUCAGAUCUACUUUCCGUCUCUUCGUAGGCAAGAGGAGCAUGGGAAUAUGGAGACAUGAACUGAUUCAAGGAAUCUGGCCUGGGGAAGGCCUCAUGCACAGAUUCUGAGCAGACAGGGUCUUGUCUUAAAGAGCCUUGGACCAAAUUUACUACCAGCCUUAUCCCGACCCCCAUUUCCCCAGCUUCAAAGAGAAUACAGGUGACCACAGACUCCGAAGUCUUGCAGGUUGGUGCAGACUUUUGAGAACCUGUUGUACAUCUCUCACCCUUGUUCCAAUGGGUACUAUUUGUUAACACUAGAACUCAUACUGUCCCACAUUUGAUCUUUCCUUCCUCAACCACAAACUUCUACUUCCUUCUAUUUUUGUCUUCAGAAUGCCAGUAUUUUGUGUCCCAGUUUCAUCUUGGGCACCAAGGAGUAGGAUGAACUUUAUAGUUCUGAAAUUCUAGGUUCAGAAAAUAGUGCUGUGGAGCACAAGGUGGGUGGGUUUCACUGUCACUCAUGCCUGCACCUGUGAACAGGGAACCUCCUGAGGAAACACAUAUGGUCUCAUCAUAUUCCACAGCCACCCAGCCACAUCUCUCAAGGCCUGACUUCCUUUCCUCCCCACGCCCCACCCUCUGGGCAGAAGUAGCUGAGAAGGUGCUUCUCCAGCUCUUUCCUCUUCCCUGCUUAGCUCUAUUAUAGUUCACUAGGCCAACACUUUUCUUAGAACCAAAGUGUUUCUAUUUAGGGGUCUGGGGAGCAAUUCCAUUUCCCUCUAUCAUCUCACCUGGAUUUUCUGGCUUUCAGAAGAAAAUGCUCCACUCAGAGAUCUGGACUUAUUUCUUCCCAAGCAGUGAGUCAUAUUCACAGACAAACCUUAUCUCCUGGGCCACAACCUGGUUGGCUCCCAACUCACAGAAUAUGAUCAAAGACUGUGUGUCUUUGUAUCUUUAUAUUAACUUGCACAUAAUUCAUUUAAACUUUGGA